GACGAACGCUGGCGGCGGGCUUAACACAUGCAAGUCGAACGGAAAGGCCCUGCUUUUGUGGGGUGCCCGAGUGGCGAACGGGUGAGUAACACGAGAGUAACCUGCCCUUGACUUUGGGAUAACUUCAGGAAACUGGGGCUAAUACCGGAUAGGAGCUCCUGCUGCAUGGUGGGGGUUGGAACGUUUCUGCGGGUGGGGAUGGACUCGCGGCUUAUCAGCUUGUUGGUGGGGUAGUGGCUUACCAAGGCUUUGACGGGUAGCCGGCCUGAGAGGGGGACCGGCCACAAUAGGACUGAGGGACGGACCAGACGGCUACAGGAGGCAGCAGUGGGGAAUAUUACACAAUGGGAGGAAGCCUGUUGCAACAACGCCGGGUGCGUGAUGACGGCCUGCGGGUUGUAAACCGCUGUAGCCUGUGACGAAGCGUGAGUGACGGUAAUGGGUGAAGAAGCACCGGCUAACUACGUG
rnacentral:rRNA from 1 species